CAUUUGGCUUUAUUCAAAGCCAACCCACAGAGGUUUAUAAUUUUUU
rfam:Cavia porcellus supercont2_1 genomic scaffold, whole genome shotgun sequence.